UGAAGCGGGAAGAGCUCAGACUGUUAAUCUUCGGAAUUGUAGUCUGUAUAAGCUAGGUUAUCUCUAGUCGCCGGUAAAGUGUCCUGGAACGGACUGCCAAGGAGGGUGAUAGCCCCGUUCAUACCGACGAUGAAGGUGUUCGACCAGCUUUUUAAGAGUCGAGUUGCUUGGGACUGCAGCUCUAAGUGGGUGGUAAAUUCCAUCUAAAGCUAAAUAUUGGUGGGAGACCGAUAGCAAACAAGUACCGUGAGGGAAAGAUGAAAAGAACUUUGAAAAGAGAGUUAAAAAGUACCUGAAAUUGCUGAAAUGGAACCGAUAGGAGGCAGUGUUGGUGUGCGACCUUUUGGGCUAUCCUCGUGAGGAUGGUCCCUCGUGGUCGUGCACAAGUUAGGCUUGUUUAAUUGCGUGGGAGAGACUUCGGUCGUCAUGCAAUCGAACUGACUCUGACGAAAUGCCUCUUAUCAUCCCGUCUUGAAACACGGACCAAGGAGUCUAACAUGUUUGCAAGUGCUCGGAGUUUAUCUCCAAGCGCGGAAUUAAUGUGAAUGUGACCUAGUCACUAAGGUAGGAUGCUUCGGCUGCACUAUCGACCGACCACUGUCCUACGGGUACGAGGUUUGAGUGUGAGCAUACAUGUUGGGACCCGAAAGAUGGUGAACUAUGCUUGAGUAGGACGAAGCCAGGGGAAACUCUGGUGGAGGUCCGCAGCGAUUCUAACGUGCAAAUUGAUCGUCGAACUUGGGUAUAGGGGCGAAAGACUAAUCGAACCAUCUAGUAGCUGGUUCCUCCCGAAAUUUCCCUCAGGAUAGCUGCAACCGAAUAGUUUUAUCAGGUAAAGCGAAUGAUUAGAGGCCUCAGGGGUGGAAUGCUCUUGACCUAUUCUCAAACUUUAAAUGGGUAAGAGCCCGGGGUUGCUUAAUUGAACCCCGCGGUCGAAUGACGGUUGCUAGUGGGCCAAUCUGGGUAAGCUAGAUUGGCGAUGCGGGAUGAACCGAACGUCGAGUUAAAGUGCCAAAGUAUCCGCUAACCUAGAUCCCACAAAAGGUGUUGGUUCAUUAAGACAGCAGGACGGUGGCCAUGGAAGUCGGAAACCGCUAAGGAGUGUGUAACAACUCACCUGCCGAAUGAACUAGCCCUGAAAAUGGAUGGCGCUGAAGCGGAUCACUUAUACUCGACCAACCGUGCAAGUACGAAGCACUGUUGAGUAGGGGGGCGUGGAGCUCGUUGUGCAUUCUGUGGCGUGAGCCGGGAUGAAACGGGUUCUAGUGCAGAUCUUGGUAGCAGUAGCAAAUAUUCAAAUGAGAACUUUGAAGACUGACGUGGAGAAAGGUUCCAUGUGAACAGCAAUUGGACAUGGGUGAGUCGAUCCUAAGAGAUGGGAGAAUUCUGUUUCAAAUGGCCCUUACUUGUAAGGGCCAGCCUAUCGAAAGGGAAUCGGGUUAAUAUUCCCGAACCAGGACGUGGAUAUUGAGUGGCAACACAAGCGAAAUCGGGGACAUUGGCGGGGGCCCCGGGAAGAGUUCUCUUUUCUUUUUAACAGCCCGAUGGUCCUUGGAAUCGGAUUGACCGGCGAUAAGGAUCAUUGGCUGGAAAAGCAGCAUACUUUUUGUGCUGUCCGGUGCGCUCUCGACGAUCCGUGAAAACCCGGUAGCGUGACUUAUUCGCACCCCUGGUCGUACUCAUAACCGCCUCAGGUCUCCAAGGUGUGCAGCCUCUAGUCAAUAGAACAAUGUAGAUAAGGGAAGUCGGCAAAAUAGAUCCGUAACCUCGGGAUAAGGAUUGGCUCUGAGGGUUGGGCCUAGGGGUCUCAGGAACGAAGGAUGUGGGGCUAGGAGGGGACUACGACUCACGUUGCGGACCCAGCCCGGCUGCUGUCCCGAGGUCUUGAGAACGUCUUCGGACUUUCCCUAGUGCGUGGAACAACCAACUCAGAACUGGAGCGGACAA
rnacentral:rRNA from 1 species